GAUGAACGCUGGCGGCGUGCCUAAUACAUGCAAGUCGAGCGAACGGACGAGAAGCUUGCUUCUCUGAUGUUAGCGGCGGACGGGUGAGUAACACGUGGAUAACCUACCUAUAAGACUGGGAUAACUUCGGGAAACCGGAGCUAAUACCGGAUAAUAUUUUGAACCGCAUGGUUCAAAAGUGAAAGACGGUCUUGCUGUCACUUAUAGAUGGAUCCGCGCUGCAUUAGCUAGUUGGUAAGGUAACGGCUUACCAAGGCAACGAUGCAUAGCCGACCUGAGAGGGUGAUCGGCCACACUGGAACUGAGAUACGGUCCAGACUCCUACGGGAGGCAGCAGUAGGGAAUCUUCCGCAAUGGGCGAAAGCCUGACGGAGCAACGCCGAGUGAGUGAUGAAGGUCUUCGGAUCGUAAAACUCUGUUAUUAGGGAAGAACAUAUGUGUAAGUAACUGUGCACAUCUUGACGGUACCUAAUCAGAAAGCCACGGCUAACUACGUG
rnacentral:rRNA from 1 species